UACGGAGGGGGCUAGCGUUGUUCGGAAUUACUGGGCGUAAAGCGCACGUAGGCGGACUGUUAAGUCGGGGGUGAAAUCCUGGGGCUCAACCUCAGAAUUGCCUCCGAUACUGGCAGUCUCGAGUGCGGGAGAGGUGAGUGGAAUUCCCAGUGUAGAGGGUGAAAUUCGUAAGAUAUUGGGAAGAACACCAGUGGCGAAGGCGGCUCACUGGCCCGUAACUGACGCUGAGGUGCGAAAGCGUGGGGAGCAAACAGGG
rnacentral:rRNA from 1 species